AACAAUACUCAUCAAGCAGUCUGUGACAUCAUCAAAAGGCCCCCUGAAGACCAUGUGGUGAUUCAGCAAGAUGCCCACAAACAAAGAGAAAGUUUCUAGGCACUGGCAGAAAGUUAAUGCAGACCCAGUAGCUAGGGCAAUGCAUUUAUCAAGGACACGAGAAAGCAACCAGAGAAGAAAGCAAGCUGCCUUGGCUGCAAAUCCUGAUCACCCGUCAAUCAGGAAUUUAUCAGAUGCUGCAGCUGAGAAGAGGCGAAAGCAAUGGCGAGAAAAUCAAAGAAAACACAGGGCAGAAGCUAAACGUAUAAGGGCAGUUCUGGAUCUUAUAAUACAGUAUUACCACCUGUUCAGUUAAUUUUUACGAAUAUGAUAUGUAUUGUGGAAUAAAAUGAUUAUUCAUUUCA